UACGUAGGGGCAAGCGUUGUCCGGAUUUAUUGGGCGUAAAGAGCGUGUAGGCGGCCAGGUAGGUCAGCUGUGAAAACUCGAGGCUCAACCUCGAGACGUCGGUUGAAACCAUCUGGCUAGAGUCCGGAAGAGGAGAGUGGAAUUCCUGGUGUAGCGGUGAAAUGCGCAGAUAUCAGGAAGAACACCCGUGGCGAAGGCGGCUCUCUGGACGGUACUGACGCUGAGACGCGAAAGCGUGGGGAGCGAACAGG
rnacentral:rRNA from 1 species